rnacentral:rRNA from 1 species
UACAGAGGGUGCAAGCGUUGUUCGGAAUUAUUGGGCGUAAAGAGCUCGUAGGCGGUUUGUCGCGUCUGCUGUGAAAACGCGAGGCUCAACCUCGCGCCUGCAGUGGGUACGGGCAGACUAGAGUGUGGUAGGGGAGACUGGAAUUCCUGGUGUAGCGGUGGAAUGCGCAGAUAUCAGGAGGAACACCGAUGGCGAAGGCAGGUCUCUGGGCCAUUACUGACACUGAGAAGCGAAAGCAUGGGGGAGCGAACAGG